rnacentral:rRNA from 1 species
GUGCAGCAGUCGCGAAAACUCCGCAAUACGCGAAAGCGUGACGGGGCUACCCCGAGUGUCGUCCGCUGAGGACGACUUUUCCACGCUGUAAGGAGGCGUGGGAAUAAGGAGAGGGCAAGUCUGGUGUCAGCCGCCGCGGUAAUACCAGCUCUCCGAGUGGUAGGGACGAUUAUUGGGCUUAAAGCGUCCGUAGCCGGCUCAGCAAGUCUCCCGUUAAAUCCAACGAUUCAAUCGUUGGACUGCGGGAGAUACUGCUCGGCUAGGGGGUGGGAGAGGCCAACGGUAUUCUCGGGGUAGGGGUGAAAUCCUAUAAUCGCGGGAGGACCACCAGUGGCGAA